CCCCUCCCAUUCUUGGAGACUCUUUCCUGUCGGACUCAGAGGUCUGAGGGAGGCAGGUCAAGUGCUGUGUGGCUAGGACCCAUGGCUAUGAACUUGCAGGAAAAUGUGACCUUGGCCAUGGCCGUGUUAACCAUCCUAGCCUCCAUCUACUUCUUCAACAAGGCUCAGCAGUAAGAAGGCAUGGCUCCCCAGUCCACCAGCUUGGCCCCCGCCUGCUCUGCCAUUGCUCUGGCCUCUAAGAUCCAAUAAAUGUUAACAGCACCAGACCAAGGCUUCCUGCUCCCUAAGCUCUGCUCCCUACAACCCUGUUCCUCAUAGGUCCACACAACCAUGGAUCUCAGCAGGAAGGUGAAAAGUAGAGACCUGGCCCCUAGAUCUGAGGGAGGAGGCUUGGGACCUGUUGCUCCAAAUCUCAAACUCCUAUUGAACCGUUAUCACCUGCCAUCAAAUCCCUAUCUGAUAGAAGUGUCCAGAACCCCAAAUAGAGGGAAUCUGUUAGCAGCGCACUCCAUCACCUUCCUGCCUCCUCCAACCUUCCCAAGGGAGUGAGUGCCCUGAGGGACAGACACACCUGCCCAAGAAAGUUCAUUUGUAUGCUCUGGGUCUUCUGGACAAGGACUAGAAAUUUCCAAUCACGAACAUAUUCGCAAAUCCUUGUAGUUCAGAUCCGUGCAAUUUUAGUGGGUCACAAGCAAAUUGAGAUCAAGCAGAACUAGCGGUCGUGCUCUCGAUGAGAGCCAGUAACAGCAUCCUUUGUCCUCCAAUGCAAGGAUUCCUUGUGCGCAAAACCAGAAAUAGCCGUAAGGUGGCGAUGUCAGACUAUUUUCCCAGAUUCUAAUUGGCAACAGGGAUUGACUUUGCAGGAGACUGAGCCUCCUGCUGACCUCUCUCCCAGGUAUUUUCCCAAGCCUCCACCCCUUCCUGUAAGUUCUUGGCCUCUCCCUGCACCUCCUUGCCCACAGGGCCCCCACCAGGCUGUAUCCUUAGCCCCGUAACUCAAAAAAAAAAAAAAAAAAAAAAAAAAAAAAACCAAAAAACGGUUGAGCAGCCACACCCCAACGGCUUUUCACCUUCCGUGCCCCAACACACUCCAAGAGGCCUGAGGUGCCUUUGCAACCUCAGUUUUGCGAGUCCUCCUUGGAAAACUUCCGGAGCAUUCCUUCUUGUCUCACCCCCUCCCUUAACUCCCCAGGUGGGCUUGGCUGUCAGCGGUUUUUCAACCACUGAACCAAGUCAACCUUUGCGUCCUCCACAUCCCUCCUUCCCCUAGGGCUUGACCAUUUAUGAGGUUUCUGAGUCCUCAGGGAGCUAUCAACUUGGCAUUUUCUCAACCGCAAUCCAGUGGAGAUGGAUGUGUCUCAAGCCGACGCUGUGUAGAGCCACUGAGGGCUUCGUCAAUUCCCACCACUGAGCUUGGGGUGGGGCGCAGCAUCGAUUCUGCUCUGAAUGUUCCCCAGGGUACUAUGAAUGGGCAGCUGGGGUUCUGAGGCCGCUCCUUACCGGGAGGAAGCUGAGCGCUUCCAAGGGGUAACUCUGCUGCCUGGGAAAUCUUUCAGAGACCUCCACUCAGACAGAGAUGGGACUUUUUUUUAAAUUAUCACUAUGCUUUUUUUUUAGCAAAUAUUUAUUAUGUGCCAGGAUUAUAUUAUGUG
rnacentral:lncRNA from 1 species